AUUUAAAAUCCCAAGUUAAAGAGUAAGUGUCACUUGUCUGGAAUGCAUACCCUUGCAAAAAAAUAAAUAAAAAAGAACACAUAGCUUGUGUAUAGUUUUUUUCUCCCCAUGAGAUGCUUUCUUUUCAUUUAUAUUUAUAUUAAAUAUUCAGCAAAUGCUGUCAUAAUCCAGUUCAGACUAGGCAGAGCCAGGGAAACAUUCCUAAUGAAGAAGGGAAACAGAAACACUGUUUAAUUUAUCCUCUCCCUCUCUAUGUUAACAACUGGACAGAAUUUAUAAUAGUGAUUGAGAGGAAGCUACGAUGGCAGCACCCAGUUUUAAGAUACAG